rnacentral:rRNA from 1 species
GACGAACGCUGGCGGCGUGCUUAACACAUGCAAGUCGAACGAAGUGGCGAACGGGUGAGUAACGCGUAAUCAACCUGCCCUUCAGAGGGGGACAACAGUUGGAAACGACUGCUAAUACCGCAUACUGAAGGAGGGGAUUGCGUCUGAUUAGCUAGUUGGAGGGGUAACGGCCCACCAAGGCGAUGAUCAGUAGCCGGUCUGAGGGGAGGAACGGCCACAGUGGGAAUGAGACACGGCCCAGACUCCUACGGGAGGCAGCAGUGGGGAAUCUUCCGCAAUGGAGGAAAGUCUGAAUGAGCAACGGCGCGGGAGUGAUGACGGCCUUCGGGUUGGAAAGCUCUGUUAAUCGGGACGCGGUACCGGAAGAGAAAGCCACGGCUAACUACGUGCCAGCAGCCGCGGUAAUUC